ACUGCCGUAGCUUAGUGGUUAGAGCGUCGGGCUCGAACCCAGAAGAUGCAGGUUCGAUUCCUGCCGGUUUCGCA